GCCGCUGUGGUGGAACUGGCAGACGCGCCAGACUCAAAAUCUGGUGGGGGCAACCCCGUGCCGGUUCGAUUCCGGCCAGCGGCA
rnacentral:tRNA from 1 species